UUUAAAUAAAAAGGUAAAUGGCUUAUAAUUCAUGUGGGUCCAAAAAAGAGUUGGCAUUGAUGAUAAUGGAUAAAUACAUAAAAAUUACCAAGAAGCUUUAUGUUCUUUUUAGAAUGGUGACUACACCCAUAAAGUUAUGCAAUCAAACAAAGAUAAAACAACCACCAUAUUCAAUCAAGCAAAUACCAAAAUACGAUCUUCUUUCUCAUACCAAUGAAAAACCCAAUUGAAAAGUAGCUCUAAGAAUCUAAUCAAAAUAAGGUACUUGCUGUUAUGCUGGGAUCAACUAAUGAGAUGAAACUCAUGUUGAUGGAAGCUGGUUGUGAUUAAGUACCACUGAUGGUGUUGAUGUAGAUCCACUGAAGAACGAUUGUCCAUCAUUUCCAUAAUAGAUUUCAAUUCCCACAGGGCUUUCAUGGUAGGUUGAAAGACACAAAGAAGGGAAGAUGAAUGGAAAAAUGUGAGAAGUAAGGAUGUCAAAUACGUAGUAUUAUGAUGUGGAGUAUUCAAUUAAGAAGAAAAAAAGUAAUUUGGGAAAUCACUCGGUGAAGUACACGCGACGAGUUAAAUAAAAUCUGAUCAAUUUUAUGGCCUAAUGGUCGCCGGUUUUCAUUUAAGUUACCAAAAUGUCGCUGGUGGCAUUUUUUUUACCAAAUUGUCGCUCAUUGUUAGUUUUUAUUACCAAUUUGGUUAAUUGGCCUAAAAUGUUUCUUCCUUUUAUAAUAUUUUAUAACUAGUGUGUAACCCGGGCGAUGCCCCGGUUGCUACUUUGAAUAAUUAAAAUUCGAUUUUUUUUUUCAACUCAA